rnacentral:rRNA from 1 species
ACCCACCUAUAAGACUGGGAUAACUUCGGGAAACCGGAGCUAAUACCGGAUAAUAUAUUGAACCGCAUGGUUCAAUAGUGAAAGACGGUUUUGCUGUCACUUAUAGAUGGAUCCGCGCCGCAUUAGCUAGUUGGUAAGGUAACGGCUUACCAAGGCAACGAUGCGUAGCCGACCUGAGAGGGUGAUCGGCCACACUGGAACUGAGACACGGUCCAG